UGGGACAGAUGUUUGCAGCUUUGCAGCCCUUGUAUUUACAUCCUGUCAAGGGGACACUGCCAAGACCAGGGGCCUCUCAUCUGACCCACCUUCAACUCGCUAAACUCUUAUAAACUUCAAGCAAAAACUUCAAUCAGUUAUUUUUAGGAUGGGUUGGAGCUGUAAAACACUGUUAUUUUUACAAACACACAUAAACACAGAGGGGUUUUUUCCAGAGCUGUGUUUUUGUAGGAUCUAACAAUGCCCUGCACUCGGGGUGUCAGCAGCUUCCUAACGCUCCCCUCCAAUCCUGCUGUGGUUGUGUGCUUCUCCAGGAAUCCCAGCACCCUCUGGCUCUGUUCUUGUGGUUUCUGCUGAAUCCCUUCUCAAUCAAUCCCUUCUCAAUCAGUCAAUCCCCUCUCAAUCAAUCAAUCAAUCCCCUCUCAAUCAAUCCCCUCUCAAUCAAUCAAUCAAUCCCCUCUCAAUCAAUCAAUCCCCUCUCAAUCAAUCCCUUCUCAAUCAAUCAAUCCCUUCUCAAUCAAUCAAUCAAUCAAUCCCUUCUCAAUCAGUCAAUCCCUUCUCAAUCAAUCCCCUCUCAAUCAAUCCCCUCUCAAUCAAUCAAUCCCCUCUCAAUCAAUCCCCUCUCAAUCAGUCAAUCCCCUCUCAAUCAAUCCCCUCUCAAUCAAUCCCCUCUCAAUCAAUCAAUCCCCUCUCAAUCAAUCAAUCCCCUCUCAAUCAAUCCCCUCUCAAUCAAUCAAUCAAUCCCCUCUCAAUCAAUCAAUCAAUCAAUCAAUCCCCUCUCAAUCAAUCAAUCCCCUCUCAGUCAAUCCCCUCUCAAUCAAUCCCCUCUCAGUCAAUCCCCUCUCAGUCAAUCAAUCAAUCCCCUCUCAGUCAAUCCCCUCUCAAUCAUUCCCUUCUCAAUCAAUCCCCUCUCAAUCAAUCAAUCAAUCCCCUCUCAAUCCAUCCCCUCUCCUCCCCAGGCCCUUCUGGAAGGUUCCUGCGGGGCUCUGGGGGGUGGCAGUGCUGUUUUUCCCUGGAGUUUGGGCUGGCAGAGGAGGAAGCAGCGGUACCUGUCGAAGGAGGGUCUCUCGCCGGCGUCGAAGGCGUCGCGGAGCCGCCUGACCAGGCUGUCCUGGCCGGGCAGGCGGAAGAUCCCCUCCUCGGCCACGCCGUGCUCCCGGAUGAACUCGGCGCUUUUCUGCACCAGGAUGGGCACCAGCAGCUGCCCGAAUUUCUGCUCGUAGGCCAUGGUGUCUGCCAGGCUCUGCCCGAACAC
rnacentral:lncRNA from 1 species